rnacentral:rRNA from 1 species
UGGGGAAUUUUGGGCAAUGGGCGAAAGCCUGACCCAGCAACGCCGCGUGAAGGAUGAAGUCCCUCGGGAUGUAAACUUCGUAAGAAUAGGAAGAAUAAAUGACGGUACUAUUUGUAAGGUCCGGCUAACUACGUGCCAGCAGCCGCGGUAAUACGUAGGGACCAAGCGUUGUUCGGAUUUACUGGGCGUAAAGGGUGCGUAGGCGGCAUAUCAAGUCACUUGUGAAAUCUCCGGGCUUAACUCGGAACUGCCAAGUGAUACUGAUGUGCUAGAGUGCAGAAAGGGCAACUGGAAUUCUUGGUGUAGCGGUGAAAUGCGUAGAUAUCAAGAGGAACACCUGAGGUGAAGACGGGUUGCUGGGCUGACACUGACGCUGAGGCGCGAAAGCCAGGGGAGCAAACGGGAUUAGAUACCCAAGUAGUCCCUGAGCGGGCUGGCAAGGCGCAU